ACCUGGAUGGCCCAAUGUCCCUCCAGGGGUGUAAGGCAUCUUUUGAACUCUGCCAAUCACUCAGCGCCCUUCUAAAAUGCCAGGAUUGACAGAGAGUGCUCAGCAGGGGUGGGGAAAAGGAGAGGUGAUUGACACAUCUGGGGAAGAAGGGAGAAACCCAAAGUAUCUGAGGCAAACCAUGACAUCACACCGCAACAGUAGGUUUUUGGCCCAUGUUCUGCCAAGUUCAUGCAUUGAUGCUUGGUUUUCUUUAAUGUAGCCUACUAAGAGACAACAGCCUUGUGGCAGAGGAAUUUCACACAUGGUAAGGUGGUCUUCUUUUGCACCUUACAUGGACUGGCAUCCCCAGGUUUCUGACAGAUAAAUUGAGGGCUCUGACCUAUAGAGGAGAUGCAAGUGGAGUGCUGGGUUGGGACCCACCAGGAGGAUUUUGUGAAUCUGCUUUGGAGAUGGGGGUGUUGAUGAAGUGGCCCCUUAGGCCCCAUAAAGGCCAAGUGUCACAUUUGAUGACAGAGCUGAGGUGAGCCGGGCAGAGCAUUCUCAAUGUGUAUCGUGUCACUUGUCUAUCGUGCAUUCGGUGUGUUUGGGUAUCUCAUGUCUUUUACCUUAGCCCUUUGAGAGGUCAUCAGAAACCCUGGCAUCAUUCUUAGCAUCCAUGAUCUCUGCGGUCCUUGGCCUGACACCAAUGCCACAGAACUUUUGACUCAGGAGCUCAGCCAGUUGUCAGAAUUGCAUCACUCUUUGGAAACAUCCAGUCAGAUGUCUUUUCAGGUCUUGCUCUGAGCUGUAUGGACAGUUGCCCCCUGCAAGGAUCCAUUAUGGUGGUUUAGGACUUGUAAAAAUAUGAGGUUAGGUAGAGGAUUCUGACCAUAGGGUUUUUGGGCAUCCAUCUUUGCAGUUCUUGGAAUAAAUCAUUCAGUUAGCAUCUUCUUCCUCCUGGGUUCCCUGAGCCUCAUCAGCUUGCCGUCGGUCUUACCUCACUCAUCUCAUUUUGCAGUCUUUCACUCCUUGCAGUCAUUUUCCUUGCCAAGGGAUUUCUGUCUGUGUUGUGUCCUCAUUGUUGGUCAUGUCCAGUCGUGUGUCACGAGUCUUUGCACAUAUUUAUGCUGGAGAUGCUCCACCCUGCUGCAUAGCCUGGUGCAAUAAGACCAGUCCCAGGACUUGACAUUUUUUAAUGUAGGCUGUAGUUGGACUCAAGAUGUUUGGAGCUGUGAAGUUAUUCUGCAGCUCAUUGAGUUUUGUCCUUUCUUUCAAAAGCAGAUGGAUAAAAUCCAUGGCAGAGCAUCCCGUCCAAGGUGAGGGGCUUCCCACGAACAGGUCAGUCACCAUUUGUAUCUGUAGAGGAAGCACAAAUUGUGACUAUAUGUUACAGCUCUGGUCUUUGUCUUUUUAUUCAGGAAGUCAAGGCCGAGUGGGCAUGGUGAGCGUUGAGUAAUGUGUAGAAGCGGUUGUUAUUGCUGAGGUUUCAGUUUCUGGUGCAGCUUUAAGCAUCUCUUUUUGCUUCUUUUAUUUUAGGUGGUCCAUUUGCUAGAUAUGCUGGCUGAGGCUACCCCAUGCCUGGUGGAUGCAUGCUUCAGACGCUGUCACUACCCUAGGUAUGCCAAGGAACAAAGGAGAGAGGGUAAGUAGGAUUUGAAGCAGGGUGACUCAUAGCAGCAACAUGCUAAGUAUGUACCUUUUCUUUGGCAGGUAUCUUCCGGGCAGCUUCUGGAUUUGAAUCAAGAUUUGAGGUGAGCUGGGGCAGUGAUGCGGAGAAGUCCCGGGGUUUACUCUUUUUGGGGGCGAUAGUCACAUUUUCUCUCUUCUCUUAAGUAGUGUGAGGAGGUUUGGAGCCAAAGUUUGGAAACAGCAGCACCGAGACACAUGUGGAGAAUGUCUUGAUAUACAUAUAAAACUGACGAUGGAUUUUGUCUGCUCCAAAAGCUAAGUGUUGGGGCCAGUAGUUGAGAGAAGAGGAAAAACCUUUACUAUCACAAGAGCAAUUUGAUGUCAGCUUAGCAGAGAGGUCUGUAGUGGGACAGGCUAUCUGGAAGUAAAGGGAGAUGGUUUCUUCUCAGCUUCAGCAGAGCCUUUGCCGGGCAGGGCAGUUCCGACCCAUCUCCCUUUUCUCAUGAGCUUUGCGUUGUCAGCCUUCUUUGACCCUUGACGUCGUUGUGAAUCUUUACCUCGAGGACCUCGCCUUCAGGUCCAACUUAUAGCCAUUGUCACCCGGCAGUUUUUGCUACUUCUGUAGCCCUACUGGGCCUCUUUAGCAUCAUCUUAACUUCUUUGGUACUAACUUCUUUCAAGGAGUUACAUUUCAUCAUCACAUGCUGUUGUCACAGGGCUUUCUUUCUUUGGCAUCAUCAGCCUCUGGCUCAUGUUGCGUUAGGAAUCUUGGGUCCAUAAGGUGAAAGUGCCAGGCGGUUUCCACUUGUGUCUGUGUUACGUCAUCUGUGUCUAUGUUAUGUCAUCUAUGUUAUGUUGUCCGUGUCUGUGUUAAGUAGCUUGUGUACAUUGUCUUCUGUGUCAUAGACCUUUGUAACAUCUUGAUGAUAUAUCGGCAUCAGUCUGCAUCAUAUCAGCCAUAUUUUACUCGCGUUCCUCUCUGGAUAUUGCUUAUUCCGACAUCUUUACAUUUUUACUCAUUGAGACAGGAAGAAGUACACAAAAUAUUCUCAUCCAUCUUCCUUCUCAGCUUUGGUAGUGCCUUUUUUUUUCCUGUGCCAUUCUCUUGGACUUCUAUAAGGAGUGCAUUACUCCCUCCUCAUUUGACUGCAGUAGAUUUGUAGGUUCCAUCUUCUCAAAGGGUAUAGGGCUCAAGAAUUAAUCUUCCAGAGAGCUAUCUCAAGUCCUGGCUUAUAUUGUAGGUGCUUAUAUUUUAUGUACCUAUGUGUACUUAUAGUGUAUGUACUUAUAUUGUAUGUACCUAUGUUGGUUUAUAUUUUAUGUAAUUAUGUUGGCUUAUAUUGUAUGUUGUUAUAUUGUAUGUAAUUAUGUUGGUUUAUAUUUUACAUACCUAUAUUGUAUCUAAUUAUGUUGGCUUAUAUCGUGUACUUAUACUGUAUAUACCUGUGUUGGCUUAUAUCGUGUGUACUUAUAUUGUGCCACUUAUGAUUGGAGCUGCCCUGCCCUGACACAUAGUCACAGUUAGGUAGAACAGUUAUAGAAACUUUACCAUUCACUUCUCUUCUAUGAGAUUUUGGGUAGAAAAUUUGUUGGCCCAGAGUGGAGACAAGCCCUAGCUCUCAGAUAACUACUUGUUGACCUCUUCCUGUCGUCUCACAUGUUCCCAAGGCUACUGAUUUUCCCGGAAUCGACCAUUUGACAUCAAGGAGUGGCAGCCAGAAGAUGUGUCAAAGCAGGUUCUUCAGUGUUUCAAGUAAGGGCUGCAGUGAGUGUGUAAUUUGAAGAGUAUGUGAGAGCCUGUGACUAUCUGUGUCUGUCCACAUCUGCUUGUCUUUGCAUGUGCUGAUGUAUGCUGACCAGUUUUAACCUUAUGUAUAUGACUUUUUCCUUUCAGGUUCUUAAACUCAUUUUUAAAUUUAGAAUAAAAACUCCCCAGCUGGGUUUUUUUUUCCCCCCACCUGUUUUUUUUCCUCAGUCCCGGCCGAGGAAAAAAACAUCGCGAGGUGAUGUUCAUCGCCAAAAUUUGGGUACCGACCGUCCUGGGACUGGAGAUUUGUCAGGCAGGAUGAUUUUUUUGGAGGCUCCUGGGAACAAUGUUCCUGAGGAGUGAUGAUGGUCGGGGUGUAAUUGAGCAGUUGAAAUGAGAGCGAUGGUGUAUUUGUGUAUAAUGUGAAGAAGUUGCUUAUGGUGAAUAAGUGUUGUUUUCAGUGUGCUGAUUCUGUUUUGAGUUUCCUGUAACAAUAAACUAAAAUGUAAUGAAAAUAGAAAAA